rnacentral:misc_RNA from 1 species
GGCACAGGUGGUACUGGCUGCAUGGAAGGUGGAGGUGGAGCAGCAGCAGGGGGUGCAGGUGCAGGAGCAGGUUCAGGUAGUGGUCUUGGUAAAAUGUGCUUCAAUCGGUUGUUUCUAUAGUUCUUCCAGAAAAAGAAUUGCUGCCUAUGUGCCAACUCCUUGUUGCCAGGAUGUGCCAUUGCGUCGCGGAAGUUUGCAUUUUGCAGCAAUUCAAGAAAAAAUAGGCAAUGAGGAUACAUUAUAAACUUUAUGUACUCAGGUCGUUGCCAGUACUGAAGGUAUUUCAAGUACCCAAUAAAUGCUUCAUCUUCAAAAUAGCGAUUCUGAGCCAAAUAAUGGAUAUAAGUGGGAUUAGCUAGACAUUGGACAAAUUCCAACUCAAGCAAAAACCGUUGUCGCCCAUCAUCUGGAUCCUUGUAUAUGCUCUUUGGCGACGAUGGAGUGUCGGGAGUCUCAUCGGUUUCUUUAGAAGAAGAAGAAGAAGGAGCCAUUUAGCCCUUCGUCUAGGAACAAAGGAAGUGAGAAGCACAGUUAGAAAUCACCUUAGUUGCGGUUCCCGGAAAAUCUAAUCAGAGGGCGAGAGACACCACAGUCAAGAGCAGCGCGAUUACAAGCACGCUGCUUAGGAUUUGCUGCUUUAU